GGUCCUGGGGCAAAUCGACGGUACAUUCAAGAGCUACUUCCAGUACUGAUCUCAAACAACAAACGUUCAUCAUCUCUUGAAAAUAAAUUGGCAUCCACAAUGUCCAUGAUCCUAUGAGAGGAUAUGCUUCCGCUACCCAUUUCUUCAAAGUAAGCUCUCUAACAAAUAGAUCAUCUACUGGCUUCUUUCUUGUGAAGGUUUCCACCAAUAAAAUGCCGUAGCUGUAAACAUCCCCCAUUGUUGACACUAUCCCUUCUGACCCGUAUUCUGCAAAAUUUUCCCGUUUAGUUCAUCAAAUUAGCCAUCAAAAGGAGAAAUCAAAUACAUUUUAAGCAUAUGUAUCUAGAUGCCUAGUCCUCUUAUAGAGGUUCAUUAAUUAACCUAAUUGGUUGCUUAUGAAAAUACAAUUAUGGAUGUUGAAGAACAUGCUAUUCUUCAUUAAAAGAGAAAUGGUUGGGGCCCAUUAGAAUGAAAAAUAUCUUCGCAUCUAGGGAAGUUUCAGGCUGUGGAAAUAUGGGUUUUUUUUCAGUAUUGUAAGGAUUCUUAACCAUCAGUAACUUAAGUCACGAUGACAGAAAUUCGCUCCCGCAAGGAGAAACUUUUAAGUCUGCUAAACUAGUUUAUUCAUUGAGAACCUAAAGUUUGAAACCAUGAAAUUUAAAUCUUGGAUAUACCUGCUAUAUAAAUACAUACAGAUACACAUAUACAGUAUAAGUUAAAGAAAUUAGUUAAUAGAGAAGUAACCUGGUGCCAUGUAGCCAAUGGUGCCUAAGGUCUUGGUCAAUGCCACUGGAUCAUGCGCCAUCAAGAGUUUGGAUAUACCAAAGUCACUUACUCUGGCAACCAUGUUUCCAUCCAAAAGAAUGUUACUUGGUUUUAAGUCACAAUGGACCACGACAAAUGAAUGGCCUUGAUGUAGUUACUCUUUAAGGCACAAGCCACAUCAACCAUAAUUUUUAGCCUCUGGAUUAAAUCCAAGAAAUUUUUGUGAGAGUAAAGCCAAUAAUCAAGAUCUCCAUUAGGCAUGUACUCUAGCACCAAUGCCUUAAAAUCAAGAUUUGCACAACUUCUUAUCACCUUAACAAGAUUCCUAUGCCGAAUGUUACGCAAAACCUUACACUCCAAAUCAAACCUGUUGAAUGCAGCUUGCACUUGUGCAUUGAAAACCUUCAUAGCAACUACUGUCCCAUUUGUAAAUGUCCCCUUAUAAACCAAACCAAGGCUUCCCUUUCCAAUCAAAUUCGAUUCUUCAAAGUUGUUAGUCCCUUUAACAGUUUCGUAGUAAGAAAACCUCUUGUGUGAUAAUUCACCCUACCAAUCGGACCACAAAGGAAUAAGUUGGUUGUUCCGUUUUCGAUAUUUCAACCACCAAAUACUGCUUAAAAUGGCUAUGACUAUUGCUCCAGCUACAACUGGUCCAAGAAAAAAAUUGUAGUGCUGUUUUGCUCCUGUUUCUUCUCAUAUCGCUCUGGUUUUUGCAUGCCUUGACGAGGAAUCUAGCAAUCCACAUAACUCUGUGUUGCCGAUGAAUGAUUCAGCAGUAAAAUUACCAAAAGGCCCUCCAUCUGGAAUUUCACCAGAUAACUCAUUGAAAGAGACAUUUAAAUAGAUGAGAUGCUCAAGCUUUGUCAAUGACAUUGGAAUUUGGCCCGAUAAAUUGUUAUGUGAGAGAUCCAAGUAUUCCAAGCUGACCAAAUUUUCAAAUGACUUAGGUAUAGCACCAUCUAACCUAUUCAUAUCUAAUGAAAGAUUAACCAAAUUCUGAAGUUGUCCAAUGGUGCUUGGAAUUUGACCAAACAACUCAUUGCCUGAUAGAUAUAACUCACUUAAACCCCUCAUAUUUCCAAUUUCAAUGCCAAAGGACCAUUUAACUGAUUAUACAACAAAUUCACAAUUGAGAUAUCCUUAUUACUCCAAAAAUUUAAUGGAAUACUUGAACUUAAAGCAUUGGAAUCUAAAUAAAUAUUUCCCAAACACCCUAGUACUUUCCCUGUAAGCCGAUUUCUUCUCAAGUCCAAAAAGUACAUUUCUUUGAUAUUGCAUAAGCUUUGAGGUAUGAUCCCAUCUAAUUUGUUCUCAUACAUUCUCAAAGUUUGUAACUUGUUCAAGUUUCCCAAUUCUUGAGGAAUUGAACCAAUCAACUCAUUGGCUCCCAGUGUUAACCAUGACAAGUUAGUCAAGUUACCAAUUUCAACUGGGAUUUCCCCCCUGAUUCCACAGUCAUAGGCGAUGAACCUCUCAAGAGAUGACGACAAGUUAGUCAAGGAUGAUUUCGGAAGAGUGCCCCUAAACUGGUUGUCUCCAAUCAUUAAAAAUGUCAUGAAUUUGCAAUGUGAGAGGGAUAUUAGAAAACUUAAUUCACCCGUAGAAGGAUCAUUUGUAAACUGAUUCCUCUGCAAGUUGAUGCUUUGAAUCUGCUGGAGAUUUACUCCAAGAUCAAUUGGUACAUUUCCACUAAACAUGUUCCUUCCAAGAUCAAGAAAGUUGAGCUUAGUGGCAUUCGAUAUAGAGUCAGGAAGUGUACCACAAAACUGAUUAAUCCCAAGGUAAAGUCCCUUGAUUUGGAAGGCUAUACACUAAGUCUGAAGGAAGUUUGCCAGACAGACUAUUUGCAGCAAGUGCUAUUACUUUUAGCGAUGAAAUGUUGAAAAUUCCAUGAGGAACUUCACCUGAUAGCAUGUUGGAUCCAAGAUAUAAUUCUUCAAGACUAGAAAGAUGUCCCAGUUCUUGAGGAAUAUUACCACAGAUUUUAUUCUCACCAAUGUCUAUCAUCACCAAAGUUGACAAAUUCCCAAGAGUUGAUGGCAGUGUUCCAACUAACUCGUUUCUUCGAAGGCUUAAUCUUCGAAUUGAAGAGAGGUUCUUCAUUUCAUUUGGUAUGCUUCCUGCAAAUGCAUUCCAAAAACCUAAUUAACGAUCACAUUCACAAUUUGGUUAUGUCUACUCUGGCUGCUCAAUAUUACUAUUACCUGUAAGGUUAUUCCCAGCAAGAAAUAAAUCUUGAAGCUUUGUCAAAUUCCACAUGUCUCUUGGCAAACUCCCUGUUAAUAAAACAUAUGAUGAACACAACCAUAUACUCCUCAUCCCAAUUUAUGAGACAUUUUUCACAUAUCUAAAGUUGACAGACAUAUGCCGUUAUCAGUACAUAUGACUGCUCCCUCGGUCCCAAUUUAUAUGAUGUGGUUAGAUUGGGCAUGGAGUGUGAAAUGACUUAUGAAAUUUGUGAUUGAAAACGAACUCAUAAGUAUAUGUGGUUAUAAAUCAUCCCAUUAAGGUGGAAUUGACAUUUCAAAAUUAAAUUAUUACUAAAAAUAAAAAUGUCUCAUUCUUUGGGAUCGACUAAAACGAGAAAUCUGUCAUAUAAAUUGAAACAGAGGGAGUAGAAAAAGUUCUUCUGAGUUUUGAUCUUAGAAUAUAAUGAUUGAGAAGACAGAAAUGUGACUUAAUAUAUCAAGACAUGAGAUUAGUGGGUCUUCUACUUAACCAAGUGGCAUUAAUUUAUUGGUCCACAUGGACUUUUAACCCCAACCAUAAGACCCAAUCCUUCCCUGCUAAACCCAACUAACUAUGCUCUCCUCAAAUUAGUUUGAAGAAUAAACAAUUAAUGCUAAGAGUAAAAUAGAAAAAUAAAAUUAUCCUUCUUUGAUAUGUCAAAAAUAACAAGUAAAAGUGAAAUUCAAUUAGAAAAUAAGUGAAAAGUAAUUCUGAAUGGGGGAGCGGUAGUAAAUGAAUAGUAAUUAAUAAAUAGUCAUCUAAAUGUUGGAAAAUAUAUACUUAAUAACAAGGAUAAAAUAGAUAGAAAAUAAUAAAUUAUUUCUUAUUUUUUGAAACUGGACAAGUAAAGUUGAACAACUAACUGACAAGUAAAGAUGAAUGAAUGAAGUAAUUUGAAACAACUACUUUCAGAAAUCACGACAAAUAAUUUGAGACGAAGAGAGUACCUGUGAGCUGAUUAUAUGACAAGGAAAGGUAAACAAGUUGUGUGCAUUGAUUCAGCCCACUUGGGAUUUGGCCUACAAAUUGAUUAUCUGAAAGUCAUAAACCUUGCAGAUUUGGAAGCAUAGUACAAAAUCCCUCUGGGAGAUUCCCACUAAUUCUGUUUCGUCCA
rnacentral:lncRNA from 1 species